UGACAGUUUGAAUAAUUUUGACAGUAACUAAUUUUUGUUUUGAAGUAAUGUGCAAUUGCAUUUAGUUUUGUUUUUUUUAGUUUUAUUGUGAAUAAUUCAUAGAAAUGUCUGAGCAUUUAGAAUUCAUAUCAGAGAAUAUAUCACAAUGGUCUGCAGUUUCGAAAGUCACACCGGAAAUACAGAAAAAGGAAAUAAGACCAUUCGUAAUUUUGUCUCUUAAAGAAUUAGAAGGAAUAGAAGAUGAGAGAUUAUCGAGUCUAAUGAACGCAGAAAAGUUUGCUGCGGUCAGAGCUAUCGUCAGGCACUUUGCAAGACUCCGAUCGGCAACCAAAAGCUUAUGGGGCCAAGAUGAUGUAAAAACAUUUUUAGAUGGGCUGCGGUUAGUGCUUUUUUUCCCCUGAGUGUACGUCUGAGCUGUCAGUGUUGCUAUGCACAGAGAAAUUGUAUGAAAAUAUACCAAAACAUUUACGGAUGAAACCAGGUGUCGUGAGCUUACAAUGGAAAAUUGAUGUUUCUUUAAGUCAAUCAACAAUUGAAACGGAGAAUCCUUCGCCACAACGCAGGAAAGAGAUAAUGCACACUUUGACACAUGUCAUAGUGACAUUUGUCUUAACAGACGGUCAAAUACGGACGUAUCGGCUCUCCAUUAGUCAAUUCCACGAACUGAGAUAUGUCAUAGCAAGCGCCUUAAAGAAUAUGAUAAUUUUAGAACGCAGGAAAUGCAUGAAAAAAGAAUGACACAUGUUUUCUUGAGGUUUUAGGGAGGAAUGAACGCGUGAAGGUUUUUUUUUUCGUUUACUAAGAGCUAGAGUGUAUAGUGUAUAAGUAAAUCGUUUCUACCUACUCAUAAAGACUAACUAAAAGAUUUUAUUGGGUGCCCAAGGCGAAUGUAAUCUUUUUUUUUAUUGCAUAUAUGGGUGGACCAGCUCACAGCCUACCUGGUGUUAAGUGAUUACCGGAGCCCAUAGACAUCUAGAACGUAAUAUAGAUUAGUUAUAGAAUAUAAUCUAAAAUAAAAUAUCUCUUUUUGUAUAAAAACUGAACUUAAUUCUUCCAUAAUGAAUGAUAAAGAUUGUUGAAUAAAAAUCGAACUCAAAUUUUUUUGUUAUAAUUAGCGUAAUUACCGGUGGUAGGACGUCUUGUGAGUCCGCACGGGUAGGUACCCCCGCCCUGCCUAUUUCUGCCGUGAAGCAGUAAUACGUUUCGGUUUGAAGGAUGGGGCAACGGUUAUAACAUACAAUAUCGAUUUAGAACUCAUAUCUCUUUACGCAUAUUUGAUUGACUACGAAAACAUUGAUGAAAAUCUCGUCUUGAGGAUAAAUUGUCGAAGACGCUAAAUUUCUUUGUUAAAAUUAUUGUAUUAUGAUGGCGACAAUAAUUUUAUUUGUCAAGGAAUAAAGUUGUUUUAUUAAUGAUAAGAAAAAAAAGGCGUUCGAAGUGUUCUUUUCUCCCGUCUUCUUUUUUUUAUUAUGGCAAUUGUCUUCUUGGUUUGCCAUUAUUUCCAGUUUCGAGUUUAUUUUAUCUUCAAAUAAGCGAUAUUAUGUUAGUAGGUAUUUAUAGUUAAAAUAAUAUUUAUAUGAAAAAUGUUUUUGAGCGAAAUAUUAUGCAGUGGAUUUAUCCGAGACUGUUAUCAAUUGGCAUAAAAUUAAAUGAAAGGAGAUGAGACGGGAUGAAAUAUAUGACUGGCGUCUUUGUUUCAUUAAUCCACAAGUGUUAAUUUUCACAGAUGCUAAACGGUUAAGGUGCCACUAUUAGUAAAAGCUUAAACAUGAGGAAACACUAAUUUAAUAAAAUAAAACAAUUCACAUAUUGUACAUUAGAUUACAUUAUAUCGCACCUUUAGAAUUGAAUUGCCCUAAUCCAAAAGUCUUAUUAUUUGGUAAACACCAAAAACGUAAUCGAAGAAUUGUAAUUUUUCAGUUAUUAUUAAGCUAUUGCAUAGCUUUUAUCCGACCGAAUCAAGAAAUUCCGUAACGAAAAUAAAACCUAACCGAACCGAACCUUCAAAUCGAAACGCAUUACUGCUUCACGGCAGAAAUAGGCAAGGUGGUGGUACCAAUCCGCGCGGACUCACAAGAGGUCCUAUCACCAGAUAUUUCAUCCCAUCUCAACUUGUUUCAUUUAAUUUAAUUCCGAUUGAUAAGUCUCAAAUGUAUUUUUUUUAUUGCUCUUGGAGGCACAGACGAGCAUACCUGAUGGUGAGUGACUACCAUCGCUCAUGGACUUCAGCAAUACCAGGGGCAGAGCCCAGCCGCUGCCAAGCUUAUAAAUCAAUUGCAUCUCAUUUCAUUCCAACAAAUUUUUCAUAUUACUAUUUUAACUAUAACAUCACAUAUGUAGUUCAAGAUAAAAAAAAUUGAAACUGGCAAUAAGGGCAUAUCAAGAAGCCGAUUACCACAUUGUACUAAAGUUGAAUACCUAUCAGUUAAUAAGAGGGUUUGUUAAUUUCAAUAGAACAGAGUGCGACGUAAGAGACUAGUUUCGCUAUCUCUAUCUAACGUGAAUGUUAAAAGAGAUUGAAGGAUCAGUCAAGAUUACAUAUGUACCGCAUGCGUUUGAAAUUCGCUAACGGUUUAAUUCGAUUUUUCUUCUUUUUUUUUUUUUUUGUUAUAAAUAAUUUUUUCUAACUUCUCUGGUACAAUCUGUUUACGGUCGGCGUCAUGUUUGGCCAAUGUUCUCGUGUGUCUGGUGGAUAAAAUCCUAAUGUAGAAAUUCUAUUAUACAUAACGAUUUUAUUCUAUUCUAUAGUAGAAUGGCUGAAUGUGAAACUUUUAUUGUAUUAAUUUAAUAGUGUUUAAAUAUUUACAUUGUUGGGCAUUGUAAUUUUCUAUAAGAUUUUAAUGUAUAUUUUAAAUGUUUAAGUUUGAAACAUUAAGUUUAAUCUGUAACCUGUAACAUUCCAAAAUAAAUUUAAUAAAACAAAA